UCGGUGCCGCAGCUCACGCAUUAAGUACUCCGCCUGGGAAGUACGCUCGCAAGGGUGAAACUCAAAGGAAUUGACGGGGACCCGCACAAGUAGCGGAGCAUGUGGUUUAAUGCGAAGCAACGCGAAGAACCUUACCUAAGCUGGACAUCCCAAUGACAUCUCCUUAAUCGGAGAGUUCCCUUCGGGGACAUUGGUGACAGGUGGUGCAUGGUUGUCGUCAGCUCGUGUCGUGAGAUGUUGGGUUAAGUCCCGCAACGAGCGCAACCCUUGUCUUUAGUUGCCAUCAUUAAGUUGGGCACUCUAGAGAGACUGCCAGGGAUAA
rnacentral:rRNA from 1 species